rnacentral:lncRNA from 1 species
GUUGGACCAAGUAGGCUUUUCGGCCAUGGGUUCGUUUUUUUACACCCUUUUUUUAAAGAAAUUUUGUACAUCCCUUUGAGGAUGCAAUCAAAUUUAGUCAAAGUUGAGACAUUUUUUGUUGGACGGAGGGAAUACGUAAGCAAUUUUCUUCUCUUUUUGUUGCAUGUUCAAUGACUUUGCAUAUUGUGGAAUUAGUAUAUGUGGUCGUCCUAUAUUCUAGUACGAUGCUGGAGAGGAUAUUUUUUUUGCAACUACAUUUUUUAACAUAUUAAUGCCAAAGAAAUUUGGAGACUAGUCCUGUGAGGAAGCAAUUUUAACGCACUUGAUUUGUUUGCUCGUGGUUGUAUGAAAAUUUAUACUUACACAAAGAAUAUGAGCAUAUAUGUAUGGAAAGAAUUGCGAGUUUGGCAUUAGGAAUACUCCAUCAUUCCACAAUAUAGGCCAUUUAGUUUUGUUGAUUGUCAAACCUUUAUCUUAGUGA